rnacentral:rRNA from 1 species
AUACGUAGGGGGCAAGCGUUAUCCGGAUUUAUUGGGUUUAAAGGGUGCGCAGGCGGGAGAUUAAGUCGGCGGUGAAAUUUUGCAGCUCAACUGUAAAAGGGCCUUCGAAACUGGUUUCCUUGAGUGUAGAUGAAGUAGGCGGAAUUUGUGGUGUAGCGGUGAAAUGCAUAGAUAUCACGAGGAACUCCGAUUGCGCAGGCAGCUUACUAAACUACUACUGACGCUCAGGCACGAAGGCGUGGGGAUCAAACAGGAUUAGAUACCCUGGUAGUCCACGCAGUAAACGAUGAUUACUAGCUGUUUGCGAUACAAUGUAAGCGGCUGAGCGAAAGCGUUAAGUAAUCCACCUGGGGAGUACGUUCGCAAGAAUGAAACUCAAAGGAAUUGACGGGG